rnacentral:lncRNA from 1 species
CUGAGAAAACAAUUAAUAAGGCAAAAGGAGUCUUAAAAAUAUAUACAAUUAAUACCUUCAGAAAGCCAGGAGGAAAUCACAUCUUUGAGACAAAUAGGCCUUAAGAAGAACCAUUAAAGACCUUAGAAAGAAAAAGUGAGUAUACAAACAAAUGCACCAAAAUACCAAACCUCCCAACAACUCAAAAGACCGGCUGAUUAGCUGAAUUAACAAUAGCUUUCGAGUUAAUUUGUGUGUUGGAAGAUCAAGCUGAGCAAUUCUCCUAGGGCACGGGGAAAAAGACAAGGCUAUAAAAAAUGCUAAAGGAAAAGCAAGAGACAUGAAAUGCAGGAAUUGUAACUCGCCCUAAAAAAGUUGAAUCAUUCAAAAAAAUGUUCAUGGCAGCUUUACUUACCACAGUCAAGGUCUCCAUCAGCAGGGGAGUAAGUAAACGAACUGGGCACAGUUAUGCGACAAAACACUCACCAGAAACAAAAAGGAACAGGCUGGAGACACACACCACCUGAAGGGGUGUCAGACCUGCGAGCAAGGCCAUCUGCGAGAGGGCUCACGGCAUGCGCCUGCUUACACGAGAUUCUAGUGUGACAGAAACCAGAGCAGUGCUUGGCUCGGUGGAAAAAGGCAGGAGGGAACUCAGUGAGAUAAUGGAAUUAACAAGUUAGAGCGUAAUAAAAAAAAAUCUAUGAUAGACACACAAAAAUUCUGUACCUCCAAACCCAGAGAUUAGAUACUGUUUUCAAACACAUGCGGAGACGCUGUCAACUAGGAACUGUAUUUUGGAUUACAUGGAAAUUUCCAAAAAUUCCCCAAAGGCAGAAAAUAAUUACAAAGAAAUUCAUAGUUGAAAUGUAAGAUCAUAAAUAAACAACAAUAACAGCUCUCUAUAUCUAAAUCCAUAGGAUACGGUCAAAGUGGUAUGCACAGAAAAACACGUAGCCUUACACCUGCUUAUUAACCAACCAAGUGGACUGAAAUAAGCUUUAAGUUUGGGAAAGCAGAAAAGCAGGUGAUGAAUACCAAAAGAGCAGGUUCUCCAAAAGAGUAACAAGGUAAGACCUUCAGUAAGUCGAAUUGAGGAAAAAAGACAAACUAGAAGUAAACAUUAGCAAUGUGAGUAAAUGAAGACAGACAUGGAGAUCAAAUAACUUGCACAAGUUAUUCAAAAUUUUCAGAAAAUUUAGAAGAAAUGGAUACUCCUCUAUCUAAAAACAUAGCUAAAAUUGGCUCAAAGGGAGGGAAAAAACUUAUAAACCCAAGAUUACAAAAGCAAUAGUAAAAGUAGUCAAAAGAUCUCUCUCUCAAAAGUUAACAGUUCAAGAUCCUGCCGUACAGCACAGGGAACUGUAUCUAGUCACUUGUGAUGGAACAUGAUGGAGGAUAAUGUGAGAAAAAGAAUACACAGGGGUGUGGGUGUGUGUGUGUGUGUGUGUGUGUGUGUGUGUGUGUGUGUGUGACUGGGUCACGUUGCUGUCCAGGAGAAACUUGACAGAACACUGUAAACCAACUAUAAUGGAAAGAAUAAAGAUCAUUAAAAAAAAGUUAACAGUUCACAUGGUUUUAUAAAUAAGUACUAUCAAAUUUAAGAAACCAACACUGUCUAUGUUAUAAAAACUCUUUCAGAGCAUAGGCAAAUUUAGACUCCCUAACCCAUCUAUCUCAUGGGGACGCCAACUUGGAUACCAAAUCCAGACACACAUCGCAGAAGAGAGUAAAGGCCAAUGUCACUAAUAGAUACAUAUGAAAAUAGUUUCAAUGAAACAGAAGCAAAUCAACUUCCUAGUAUUAAGAAGCACAUCAUGAUUAAAGAGAAAUUUAAGGAUGGUUCGAUGUGUAAAAUUCCUUUAAUAGAUCUUAUUAACGUCAACAGAUUAAAGGAGUCACAUGACAAUCUCAACAGAGGCAGGAGAAACAUUCUGCUAAGAUCAAGAAUAUUUUUUACUAAAAAAACUUAUAACAACUCUUAUCCAAUAAGAAAUAAACUGUUUCUAUAAGAAACUUCCAGCAAAACUAUAUUUAAUGAUCAAAUAAAAGUAUCCCCGAAUACAGUCAGGAGCAAGAGAGAAAUGCCAACUAUCACCACUAAUGUUCAAGAUUGAGCCGGAGAUCUUGGACAACGUAAGAACGCAAGAAAAAGACUGGGAUAAAUACUUGAAAGCAAGAGAUAAAUUUCACAAUUUGCAGAUGCUACUGACUGGCUACUGAGAAAUGUCAAGAGAACUGACAGAAGAACGUAUUGGACGUCUAUGAUAGAGUUCAGCAAUGCGAGAAGAUGAAGGAGACUGCCGCACAGAGAGUCAGCACCCCUUUCUAUCUGCCACGUGCACUGAGAAAAGCUGGCAAAACUCCAUUCACAGUAGCAACCAAAACAAGCACACAGAAAUUAAAUUUUAAACGCCUAAUUCUUUAUAAAGAAACAGUAAGACUCUCCUGCAAGACAUAAAAGAUACAUGGAAAACAUACCGUGUUCCUAAAAAAGACUCAUAUUUUCCAACUUCCACAAAUUACCUUCCUUUUUUUCUCCUUCUCUUGUCUUUUUAGGGCCACACCCAUGGCAUAUGGAGCAGCCCAAGAAAUGGCAAAAAGACAAAAAAAAAAAAAAAAAAAAAAAGAAAAAGAAAAAGAUCUCAGUGGACCAGAUUUAACAGUAACCAAGAAAAUUACUAAACUGGAAGACGGGCCAAAAGACACUACCUAGAAUACAACAUCAAGAGACAAAGAGAGAGAAAACAGUGGUUGUGGUGAGGAUUUAUCACAUAUUUAACUGGAGUUCCAAGAGAACCAGGAGAGAGAAAACGAGACAGAAGAGGAGUUUACAGAUAAAGGCUCCGAGAAUUCCAGAAGCCCAGCAGAGAUUCCAAACCUGACAAUGACAAAAAAGACAUCCCCAUCAAGACAUUUUAUAGUAAAACUUCAGAAGACCAGAGAUAAAGAUAAAUACCUUGAAAGCAGCCAGAAAACAUCGGACAGCUUAUUUUAAAAUGAGCAACAGCUGAACUUGCGAAAUGAGGCAGAACAUGGUGGACAAUAACUUCAAUACGCAGGAGGAAAACAACCGCCAACUUAGAGAGACUUCCACGCCCAAUGAAAACAUCCUCCAAGAGUUACACGAAUACAGGCAUCUUUAGACAAAGCGCAUUUGGGAAAUUUAGAAGGAGGAAUUGGGUUACAUUUAAGAACUGUUCAUCAACAGUCACUGUAGCAUAAGCAGGGGAGCAGAAUGACAAAGCCGAAGUUAACUUACAGCACCCUGGCCUAAGGAUCAGUGGCAUUCAGAAGAGGGAAUAUGAAAGACAGACACCCCGACAGAAAAAGAUGGGCAACCGGUCAAGGCAUUUCUCAAGACGGGAAAUUUAAGUGGCCAAGAAACAAACGUAAGAAAAGACCACCAGCCUCACCAGGAUCAGGGAAACAGGAAGUAAAUUCACAGCGACACAGCAUCAACACUCGCCAGCCAGCAAAAGUUUUCGGGUCCGAUGAUAGAAUCAGUGAAGACAGGGAGGGAAAACUUCAUGAACCACCUCCUUGUGGGAGUAUCAGUGUACAGUCAUCUUGGAAAACAGCUGGGCCUUGUCUGAGAAGCACACACUCUGGGACCAAGAUAUUCCAUUCCUUGGCAUGUACCCUGGAGAAACUUGCAGAUGUUUUUUAAAAAGACACAGACAAGAAUUGUUAUAGAUUCACAGCUCUUAAAAUAACCCAAAUGUUUAUCAAUAAUAAAGAUGAAUAAUUAAACAGUGUCAUGUAUAGACAUAUAACACUAUACGAGGAAAAUGAAUCACCUAUAGCUAUACCCAAAAUAGAGAUGAAAUUCAAAGACAACAUUAACCCAAAGUGGCAAGUCACAAAAGAAUACAUGUGGUAUAAUUCCACUUCCGUAAAAUACAAAACAGGCAAAACUAAGCUACAUGCGUGCAGACGAGGUCAAGCUGUUAAAAAGAACAAACAAACGAUUAUUACAAAAGUCAGAAUAGUGGUAAUGGGAGAGAGCGAAUUUAAUUGGGGUGGAAAACCUGGAGCUUUCUGGGGGUGCCGGCAAUGUUCUACAUCUUAUUCUUAUAGUAAUUAAAAUAUUUCCUUAAAUGGCAAUAUGUUUAUAUACUUUAUCUCAAAAAAUAAUCUGGCAGGAGGCAAUUUGUGCAAACUUUAAAAACUGGGGGUAUUUACAAUACUUAAAGAAAUCUGGCCUAUUAGACUAACAAUUCAGCUUUCUAAAUUCAUUUUAAAAUGCAUAGUUGAGUAAUCAACUUUGACAUGUAAUUUUUAAGUAAAAUGUUACUAAGUUAUAGGAGGCACUGAAAUAUUCAAGUGAACUCAAGGUUCUACAUAUUUAUUAAGAGCUUAAGUUAUUAUAUUUUUAGGAGAGAUAUUUAGUACUUGAGAAGGUUUUAAAUCAGGGUACUUAGAUUCUUGAAAUGGUAACAAUAUAUUGACUUUAUAAAUGAAGUCUAAAAUAUUUCUUGGUUUUAAGCUGUAAAUGGGAUUACUUAUUAUCUAAAAGCUUCUUACUUAAGGUAUUUGCUAAAAUUUGCCAAAUUCAUCAGUAGAAAAAUAAAAUUCCAGAGGUUGACUUGAAUAGUUUAAGAAAGAACUAACUCUUUGGGUUUCUAUCUUUAAGUCAAAUACUAAUUUUUAAAAGCUAAUAAUCUUUUUCUACCAACUUGUUUGUAAGAUGCAAAACAAUUCACACUAUCUCUUUUCCCUACCAUAUAAAAACAACAACCAAAAAACCUAUGCCGGAAGAUUUUGGGGGUACGUUUCAAUUAGAAUUUGUCUAGGAUUAUAAUAAAAAGUAUAAACCACCUGAUAGCUGAUAUAACAAAGAAUACUCUCAAAGUAGGUAUUCUUUACUUUGGGGGGUGGGGAAGUCACAGCCCAACCUGAGUACCUGACAAGUGCUAUGGAACUCACAGAAGGAUGCAUCUUGAUACACAAAGAAACUUCUGGAAUAAAUAAAAUAUUCAAAGAUGUCUUGAAAAGACUACAAGAGUGUAAGGACCCACUCUCUCUCAUACCACUGGCCAAUUACAAAAUCACAGUUGAAGUUAUUUUAGGAACAGCAUCUAGUAAAACGUUCAUAUGUGUUUUUAUGUUUUCAAGUCAGACAGUUAAUGCCUUUGUGGUAAAAAGUUUACUUAUUUUGUUUUCAUUUGUCACUUAGAGAUGGAUAAAGUAUUACUUUUUACCUAUUAAAUAAGCAAAGUUUUUAAAAAAUAUAUUGGCAGGGGUGAGAGGAAUUGUAAGACAUUAUCAUACACCACAGGCAGGAAUACAUAGUUCCAUGGCCUUCCUGUGAAACAAUCUGGAAGUUCAUAUAAAAACUACAACUAAAAACUUAUCUUAACACCAUCACCUUGGAUGUGUACAAUAUAUUGCAAGAAUGUUCAUCAAAAGCGUUUCUUCUAAUACCUAAUUAAAAUGACCAGCAAAUGGAGGGGUAAAUAACACGUACUGCAAUGGAACAUGAUGCCAGAAGUUAAAGUAUAUUUAAGAACAGUAUUUAGUGGUAUGAAAAUGCUCGUGGAUCUACUGCUAAGAGAAUAAAGGAUUACUUUCUCCAUUGCGUGAUCUCAUUUUUUUUUAAGAAGGAAAAGCCUCUAUACAACACAAAAAAGACUAGAAUGGGUCUAUGACAAAUUUUUAAUGUGGCGGAAGUCCAUGUAUUUCUCUUUUUCUAGUCUUAAAGUGUAAUAACAAGGAAAAAACUCAGUAAUUUAUUAGAUUACAUCCCCUGUUUAUCUUGACUUCUGACUUACUGUAAGAAUGAAGUAUCAAUUCUCUGAGUUUUACUUAUUACUGUUGUUACCUAAGCACUUAAAAGCAUUAUUCAGUUAUGUGUGGUAAUUAAGAAAAACCAAGAUGUACCACGUCUAUAAUGUAGGGUAAAGAACCAAGAAACUCUAAGUUAUGAGCUAUCGACUGAACCUGACUGACUCUCAAAAUAAGAAAACAAGUUCCCAUGGCUGAAAUAAAUUUGACAGCUACUUUCUAUACCAGGGGCGAAUGCUGAUUACAGCCCAUGAUUUGAAAUAUCACUGAUGCUGACUAGUUUUGGUCACGUUAGAGGUGGUCUAUCCAGUGGGAGAUAAUACAAAAUAAAUAGUUGGUCUUUGUCCCUGGUUCCUGGCACGCAUCUCCUAAAACCCUUGAAAUCUCCAAAGUGAUGAGGAGAUGACUGGGGCUGGGGGCCCUCGAAGCGUCAGGAUGGGAGUGGCUCACCAUAGACACCAAGGCAUGAUUACAGGGUUCGAGCUUUCCGUCCCACCGACCUCACAAAACCUCCAGGGAGAGGAAAGGAGCUAGAGUUAAUCACCAAUGGCCAAUUACUUAAUCAGUUGUGCCUCCGUAACGAAAGCUCCAGAGUAACCCCCUACGGGUUGGGCUUCUGGGUGGGUGAGCACAUCAAGCUGCUGGGAGGCUGGUGUACCCCGAGAGGGCACCAAAGCUCCGUGCCACCCCCUUUCCAGCAUACCCUGCCCUAGGCAUCUCUUCUAUUUUCCUGAGUUAGAGGCUUUAUAAACCUGGUGACGGCAAGUACUUUUUUGAGUUCUGUGAGCCAUUCUAGCAAACUGCGGAACCUGAAGAGGAGGUCAUGGGAGCC